rnacentral:rRNA from 1 species
UCGAGAAUUUUUCUCAAUGGGCGAAAGCCUGAAGGAGCGACGCCGCGUGGAGGAUGAAGGCUUUCGGGUUGUAAACUCCUGUCAUUUGAGAACAAGGUUGCGCGGUUAACUGCCGCGUAAUUGAUAGUAUCAGAAGAGGAAGGGACGGCUAACUCUGUGCCAGCAGCCGCGGUAAUACAGAGGUCCCAAGCGUUGUUCGGAUUCAUUGGGCGUAAAGGGUGCGUAGGUGGCGCGCUAAGUCGGGUGUGAAAUUUCGGAGCUUAACUCCGAAACUGCAUUCGAUACUGGUGUGCUUGAGGACUGGAGAGGAGACUGGAAUUCAUGGUGUAGCAGUGAAAUGCGUAGAGAUCAUGAGGAAGACCAGUGGCGAAGGCGGGUCUCUGGACAGUUCCUGACACUGAGGCACGAAGGCCAGGGGAGCAAACGG